rnacentral:rRNA from 1 species
GACGAACGCUGGUGGCGUGCUUAACACAUGCAAGUCGAACGGUGAAGCGCCUUCCUUUUUGGUGGGUGUGGAGGAGUGGCGAACGGGUGAGUAACACGGGAGUAACCUGCCCCCUUCUGCUGGAUAACCGCAUGAAAGUGUGGCUAAUACGGGAUAUUCGGGGUCUGUCGCAUGAUGGGUCUGGGGAAGAUAUUGUUUCGGUGGGGGAUGGGCUCGCGGCCUAUCAGCUUGUUGGUGGGGUGAUGGCCUAGCACGGCGGUGACGGGUAGACGGCCUGAGAGGGUGAGAGGCACGACUGGGACUGAGACAGGGCCCAGCAGCGUGGAAGAGGGAACAAUGGGGGAAAGCGUGCUGCGGCGACGACGCGUGAGCAAUGGAGGCGCUCGGGUGGUGAACGCCUUUCGCUAGUGAAGCAGUCCUGGCAGGUAAGUGGCGGAGUUGACGGUAGCUGGAUAAGAAGCGCCGGCUAACUACGUG